rnacentral:sRNA from 12 species
UUCCCUAAAGGCUAGUAUUACCUUUAGGGAACUUCUGUAACAUGUAACA